ensembl:lncRNA
AUGGGGCUAUUUAAUUUUAAUCGGAUGUAUAUCCCAGAUUUUUCUGAUUUGGCUAAACCUCUAACAGAGGCUCUUAAAGGAGGCCUUCUGGGUGCUUCCCCUUUGGAGUGGACAGCGGACAUGGCUGAGUCCUUUACUCUCCUCAAAUCCGCAUUAGCCUCCUCUUCUGCAUUACAUCACCCCGGCAUGACAAAGGCAUUCCAUGUAUGGACACAUGUUGGCCCAAGUGCUUAUAACUGUGUGCUGGGACAAUGUAAAGGUGACAAAAGUUAUGGCAUUGUUGGGUAUUAUUCAACUUUGAUUCCCUCUUCCAUGAAUGGACAGAUGAAUGGACAGAUGCCAUGUUUGAUGGCCUUGGACUGUGCUGAGUGGGCGUUGAAGGUCACUGAGGCCAUCGUCUGUUACAAUCAGAUGAUCCUUCACUCUCCACUUAGUUUUCUACGCAUGCUCUCAGAGACAAAAAUAAAGUCGAUUUCAAAUCAGCAACGUGCAAAAUGGGAAACUGCUCUCAUGAACCCUCAGCUCACUGUUAUUGCAGACAACCGGACAAAUUCUGCCUCCCUAAUGGAGAAUGAGGGGAGUGCACAUGACUGCGCCGAGGUAAUUAUCUGUGACAGGGGACAUUUUGUCAGAGAUGAACCGUUUUCAGACUCUCUGGACAUGUUCGUGGAUGGCAGAGAUUAUCCCUCUGUUGUAGGGCUGCACAAUUAAUCAAAUUUCUAAUCACGAUUACAAUUAUGGAUGCCACAAUUACAUAAUCGUUCAAAGUGGCAAUUAAUCAUUCAAAGUCCACUUAUGUUAUUCGGCGUGUUUAAGAUGCUUUUUUUUCUUUCUAUGCGUUAUCUUAAGUGUUUUUCCCAUUAUUUUAAUUUAUUUUUAUCAUAACAUUAUAAUACCAUUAAUAUUUUUACUUUUUUAUAAUUUAAAGAAGAAACCAAUCCAAUGUAUAGUUGAUAUUUGAGGCUUAAUACUAUGGAAAAGCACAAAAAGUUUUUCAGCUUGUUUAUUUUCAUAUAAAAAUAUGGCAUGCAGUUGCAUCAAACAAUGGUAUAAACAUCAUUCAAUGUAAAUUGUGAUAAUCGUAAUUAAUAAUUGCAAUUGCAAUUUCAAGGGAAUAAUAAACAAUUAUGAUUUUUUCAUAAUUGUGCAGCCCUACUCUGUUGUAUGCCCAUCCGUACAGACCUAUUGUCUCAAGCGAAUGGGGAGUAGGGCUGGGCGAUAUAUCGCAUGCGAUUGUCACGCGCAUUUUGUCAGUAAAGCCGGUUUCCUGGUUAGCGCUAAAUCUCCAUCACCUGCUUUCAAAUGGAGCGGUAUUUAAUAGACAGAGCCGUAGAUCACUGACAAGCUACGCAAUAUCGCGUUCAUUAUCGCACAUGAAUCGCCUUCGAUAAUGAACGCGAUAUUGCGUAGCUUGUCAGUGAUCUACGGCUCUGUCUAUUAAAUGCCGCUCCAUUUGAAAGCAGGUGAUGGAGAUUUAGCGCUAAUCAGGAAACCGGCUUUACUGACGAAAUGCGCGUGACAAUCGCAUGCGAUAUAUCGCCCAGCCCUAAUGGGGGGAUUUAUCAUCCACACCCAGACAGGGUGGCUCCCUGGGCCUGGCCCCUGAGAGGACAAACUUAAAUGCAUUAGGGCUUCUCCCACAUGUGGUUGCUACUAUACAGAAUGCCAGAGCCGUUUCUACACAGUCCUUAUGUGGUUGUAAGUGGCAAGUGUUUGAAGGGUGGUGCGAUGGGCAUGGUCUCACAUCAUUUCAGUGCUCGGUUCCUGAUAUUUUGUGUUUCUUACAAGACCUGUUUUAUAC